rnacentral:rRNA from 1 species
AGAACGAACGCUGGCGGCAUGGCUAAGACAUGCAAGUCGAACGAACUAUAUGAUUGAGUAAUCGAGAUUAUUGUUAGUGGCGUAAGGGUGCGGAAUGAAUAGGUAACGUACCCCAAACUUCAGAAUAGCGUCUGGAUGCUUGCAUCCUUCCGAAAGGGGCGGUAAUACUGAAUAAUAUCAUUUAUCAUGAGAUUUAUGAUCAAAGAUUUAUCGGUUUGGGAGCGGCCUAUUUCCUAUCAGCUUGUUGGUGAGGUAAUGGCUUACCAAGGCUACGACGGGUAGCGGGACUGAGAGGUUGACCCGCCACAUUGGGACUGAGACACUGCCCAGACCCCCACGGGGGGCUGCAGUAACGAAUAUUGCACAAUGAACGAAAGUUUGAUGCAGCAAUGCCGCGUGUAGGAUGAAGCUCCUCGGAGUGUAAACUAUUGUCAGGGGCUAGAAAGUGCGCUUCGGCGUAUUGAUCAACCCCAAAGGAAGUCACGGCUAACUUCGUGCCAGCAGCCGCGGUAAUACGAAGGUGGCAAGCGUUGUUCGGAAUCAUUGGGCUUAAAGCGCGCGUAGGCGGACUGGAAAGUGUCUUGUGAAAACCCACGGCUUAACCGUGGAAUUGCUUGGCAAACUAUCAGUCUUGAGGCAAGUAGGGGUACAUGGAACUCUUAGUGGAGCGGUGGAAUGCGUAGAUAUUAAGAGGAACGCCAAUGGUGAAGACAGUGUACUGGGCUUGUACUGACGCUGAGGUGCGAAAGCGUGGGGAGCGAACGGGAUUAGAUACCCCGGUAGUCCACGCCGUAAACGAUGUCUACUAGAUCGUGGGAGUUCUGACACUUUCACGGUCGAAGCAAAAGUGAUAAGUAGACCGCCUGGGGAGUACGGUCGCAAGGCUA